UGCAAAUCCAUUCAAGUAGAAUAGAAAAAAAGAAGUAGAUAUAUUAGAAAAAGAAGAAGAACAAAUUGGUACUAUUCCUUUCUUAC
ensembl:ncRNA C01F6.12 ncRNA